rnacentral:rRNA from 1 species
ACAUGCCUACAACAUAGCAUUAAUUCACCAGAUCCCAUUAGAACUCCAUAGUUAAGUGUGCUCAGGCUAGAGUAGUACUGGGAUGGGUGACCACCCAAGAAGUCCUAGUGUUUUACAUGCC